AAUUAGUGAAGGAAAAUGAGAACAUUUCCCACAUCAGUAUAUCCUUUCAUUAUUAAUAAUUGCAUUGCUUCUAAUAUUAUAAAGCAGUUAUGAGUAUUAAUAUUUAGCAGUUUAUCACAUAGUUUUGAAAUUAGUUUUGUUUAUGAUUGGUCUUAUUUGUUGUGCAUGAUCAAAGCUUAUAUAUGAAUCCAUUGCAUUUGACUCUAAAAGGUCAUGUCUGCAGAUUUUGGAGGCUUGCAGUCUUGUGUGGUAUGUAUGUAUGUGUGUUUUUUAACUUUUGCUUUGCAGAGACACCUGGGGAGAAAAACAGGAUGUCGGGGCGACAGGGUGAACUAAAGGUCAAUGUUGUUUAUAGCAGCAUGAACUUCUAAGACAGAAGUAAAACUUUCCAUCGAACGGGCCCCCACCCAACUACACAUAUAUAUUUUUGGGGUCAGAGGGAAAGGCAGAUCAGAUCAACCGCUCCUCGGGGGACCUGUUUCUGCAUUGGUGUUGUGUAAGGACAGGGACAGUUUUGACCCAGAGCUCUGUAAUACUUCAUUUGAGAUACUUAUUAAAAUAAUUUGAUUUGA